rnacentral:rRNA from 1 species
UUGCUUCCACUGAGAAGAUAGUGGCGAACGGGUGAGUAACACGUGGGUAACCUGCCCAUAAGAGGGGGAUAACAUCCGGAAACGGGUGCUAAUACCGCAUAGUUUUCUUGAUCGCAUGAUUGAGAAAGGAAAGACGGCCUUUGUGCUGUCGCUUAUGGAUGGACCCGCGGCGUAUUAGUUAGUUGGUGAGGUAACGGCUCACCAAGACGAUGAUACGUAGCCGACCUGAGAGGGUGAUCGGCCACAUUGGGACUGAGACACGGCCCAAACUCCUACGGGAGGCAGCAGUAGGGAAUCUUCCGCAAUGGACGAAAGUCUGACGGAGCAACGCCGCGUGAGUGAAAGAAGGUUUUCGGAUCGUAAAACUCUGUUGUCAGAGAAGAACAAGUUGGAGAGUAACUGCUCCAGCCUUGACGGUAUCUGACCAGAAAGCCACGGCUAACUACGUGCCAGCCGCCGC